GACCUUGUCCUCAUCAUAGUCAAGAAGACAAUUAACCAAUCAAACAGACUUGUAUGUUUAGCUAUUAGUUUAUAUAGGAGAGUGAUAGCAACUAUUAGGAGAUUGUGUUAGCAUAUGUAACAAAAUUCCAGCCAAAUGGUUCUACUGUGUGCUGUAAAUUUUAUUUUUUUUCUUCUGAGAUAGGUCAAAAGAUUAUUUAAGAGACUCUAUAUUCUUGUUGACGGCUUUGUUUCAAUGAGAAUCUUCUCCAAUACCAAGUCUUGCAAAGAGAAAUAACAUUGAGAAGCUCCAUUCAAAAGAGAGAAGACUAAUAAAAGGCUUGCUUACAUUGAGAAGCUGCUAAAUACUGAGUCAUAACUUGUAUUGUAAUGUAAUAUUAUUGUGAAUUUCAAUUUAAAAAAAAAAAAUGUAAUAUUAUUGUGAUGUUUAAUAUUUAAAAUUACCAUCAUUAGAAUAUUAACAUAAUAUCUUAUAAUUCUUAUAUUCUUCUUACUGUUAAAUAACACUANNNNNNNNNNNNNNNNNNNNNNNNNNNNNNNNNNNNNNUUAGAGCAUUCCUACAGAGGAAACAAAUGAAAAUAACCUAAGUGUGCAUUAUUACUACAAAUUCACAAAUAUUAAGGUAAGUACAGAAUUGUGUCCAUAAUAGCUCAAUAUGAUCUCUAAGUUGAUAAGAUAUGGUAUGAUGCAAUUUUGACCUUAACAGCUUGAUUUAAUGGCCGACUAACAUGCAUCAAGAAUAUGAAAGCAGAAAAAUACAACAUUCAUAACACAAAUUAAUAUCGGCGAUUUUAAUGAUAUGUUAUCGCUAGAAGAUAAAAUAGACGGAAGUGAGUAACCACAGUGGCUCAUUCGAGGAUAUAGAGAAGCAGUGCAAGAUAGUAGACAUCACCGGAAAUGGAUUUGAUGCAGUAACUGCGUGACACAGUUACUCACCUAGACCGGCUGAUCUUGAAUUGAUAGAUAGGAUGGUUUUUACUUGAUUUUGAUGAUAUGUAAUUUUAACCGCCUGAUUGAUGAACAACGACUCAGAUCUGCUACUGCGGCAAAUAAUUACAGCAGGGAAACCAGGUCCGACAUCACCAUCU
rnacentral:lncRNA from 1 species